rnacentral:rRNA from 1 species
GAGUUUGAUCAUGGCUCAGGAUGAACGCUAGCGGCAGGCUUAACACAUGCAAGUCGAGGGGUAUAGUUCUUCGGAAUUAGAGACCGGCGCACGGGUGCGUAACGCGUAUGCAAUCUACCUUUCACAGAGGGAUAGCCCAGAGAAAUUUGGAUUAAUACCUCAUAGUAUAACGACUCUGCAUGGAGAUGUUAUUAAAGUCACAACGGUGAAAGAUGAGCAUGCGUCCCAUUAGCUAGUUGGUAAGGUAACGGCUUACCAAGGCUACGAUGGGUAGGGGUCCUGAGAGGGAGAUCCCCCGCACUGGUACUGAGACACGGACCAGACUCCUACGGGAGGCAGCAGUGAGGAAUAUUGGACAAUGGGCGCAAGCCUGAUCCAGCCAUGCCGCGUGCAGGAUGACGGUCCUAUGGAUUGUAAACUGCUUUUGCACAGGAAGAAACAACGCUACGUGUAGCGUCUUGACGGUACUGUGAGAAUAAGGAUCGGCUAACUCCGUGCCAGCAGCCGCGGUAAUACGGAGGAUCCAAGCGUUAUCCGGAAUCAUUGGGUUUAAAGGGUCCGUAGGCGGUUUAGUAAGUCAGUGGUGAAAGCCCAUCGCUCAACGGUGGAACGGCCAUUGAUACUGCUAGACUUGAAUUAUU